GUCGAGAAUCUUUCACAAUGGGGGCAACCCUGAUGGAGCGACGCCGCGUGGAGGAUAAGGUCUUCGGAUUGUAAACUCCUGUCAUGCGUGAACAAGGUUGCUUGGUUAAUACCUGGGCAAAUUGAUGGUAACGCAAGAGGAAGAGACGGCUAACUCUGUGCCAGCAGCCGCGGUAAUACAGAGGUCUCAAGCGUUGUUCGGAAUCACUGGGCGUAAAGGGUGCGUAGGUGGCGUGGUAAGUCAGAUGUGAAAGACCGGGGCUCAACCUCGGAACUGCUUCCGAUACUUCCAUACUAGAGUACUGGAGAGAUGACUAGAAUUCUCGGUGUAGCAGUGAAAUGCGUAGAUAUCGAGAGGAAUACCAAAGGCGUAGGCAGGUCACUGGACAGUUACUGACACUGAGGCACGAAGGCCAGGGGAGCGAACGGGAUUAGAAACCCGUGUAGUCC
rnacentral:rRNA from 1 species